UAAUAUGAAAGCUCAUGCUUUAUAUCUUACUAUGUGGUGGAUUGUUUUGUUGAAAGCUUUAAAUUUUGUUUGCUUUAAAAUUCAUUUUUAUUUUACUAGCACACAACCUGCUCGAUGAAAUGCUUCAACUAAAUUCUGCCCUUAUCAAUGCUUUUAUGACAGAACUGGAACCUGAUUCUCCGGUUAUCUAGGUGAUAACUAUGAUCUUCUUAAGAGAAGCACAUAAAGCAGAACAAUGACAUCACUCUCUGUGCACUCAAGAUGGGGAAGCAACCAUAUCAAGAAUCUGCAGGAGAGUGAAAUUUUCAAUUACUUGUUGAUGACAUGGAGCAGUACAAAGUACUUGAGCAAAUUGGAAAAGGUGCUUUUGGUUCUACACUUCUUGUCAAGGAUCAGCAUGAGAAGAAAAAAUGUUACAGCUUUAGUGGUCCUGAUAUGCCAUGCAAACUAAAGAUCUAAUUUAUUGAGAAGAGCGUGUUUUGAAAGAUGUAUCGAACAGUGAAAACUACAGAUAGAGCAGCGGCUUCUUCAGGUACUUGGCAACAUGUAUCAAAGCAAAUUGCUAGAAGUGAUUAGGAAUUGGAUCAAGAAAGUGAGAUUCCAUUGCCAAAGGAGUUAGAAAGUAGAUCUUUUGAAGCGAAUAAUAGAGAAGCGUGAUUUUUUUUAUGAUAGAGACUUGAUGUAUUAAGAGUUACAUAUUAAGACUUUCAAUACUUUAUUUGUAUAGGAG